rnacentral:lncRNA from 1 species
AAAAACCCUGGGAAUUUUUGGGCAUUGUCUUGUCAAAAAGAAAAUUCGUUCAUUCGGAUAUUGGAGAAGACCAAAAGCUUGGGGCCAUGGACGCCGCACCUGUUAGUAAUCCAAAUAUGUGAGAGUAAAAAUAGGAAACUUUGUUUGAGUCGGAUUGUUUUUCCAUGUAAUAGAGAGUAGUAUGGUAAGAGUACUAGUACCGAUCAGGAUUGAUCACAAACGUUACAUUGUGUGUUAGCUUUCUAUUUACUAGUAGUAGUCCGUAUAGGUUAGGAAAAGGUAUUCUGGGUUGUGGCGUGAGUUGGAUCUUGCACCUAUAUAUACAUGGGCAGGGUGCUUGAGUUUUGUACCAGAAAAACGAGAAAAGCAAUAAAGAGAUUUUUACGAGGCACGACACGUGCCUCUUGCCAUCUUUGUGUUGCUGCGUUCGUGCGCGUGUGUUCUGGUCCCGGUGUUUGCGUGAGCGCCGGCGAGAUAUCGAGUGCUCAGAUAGUUCAUAUACGUUGAGCUGAGUUGCGCGUAUACGACUAGUCGAGCUGCAGGCUGAUCGUGUGUUCGAUCCUAAGGACGAAAAGCCAACAAUUGGUAUCUAGAGCAAGGUGUGGAGGAGUUGCGUCACGGUGGAGUUGUCUUCACCGUCAAGUUGUGUCACGGAACGGAAAAUCAAAGAAGAGGAUCAUGUCGACUUCGAAGGCGAGUGGUGGUGGUGUGACCAUCCAGUACCCCAUGCUUGAUGGUGACAAUUAUGGGGUGUGGUCCUCGAAGAUGAAGAUCUUCAUGCGUGCGCGUGGAGUUUGGGCAGCGCUGGAAGGUGAAGGCGCGAUCGAAGAGAUAAAGGACCAAGAGGCUUUCGCCGUCAUAGCCCAAGGUGUGUCUGAUGUUGUUUUAUUGUCUAUAUCGGAGAAAGAGACGGCAAAGGAAGCUUGGCAAGCGCUCAAGGAGAUGCAUGCUGGAGAUGAUCGUGUCAAGAAGGCACGUGUUCAAGCUCUAAGGAGGGAGUUCGAGAGGAUGAGCAUGAAGGCAUCAGAAGGGGUUGGUGAAUUUGCGUUAAAACUAACCUCCCUGGUUAAUGAGAUGCGAGCUCUCGGAUCAAAGAGGGAGGACAUCGUGGUUGUGGAGAAGUUACUACGAGCCAUUCCCGACAAGUUUUUACUAAUCGUUAGGACCAUCGAGAGUGGGGCGAUGUGACGAAGAUGUCGGUGAUGGAGGUGAUCGGGCGGCUAAAGACCUAUGAGUUGACGUUGAAAGGACGGGAACACGAUCAAGAAGAGGAGCAGUUGAUGUUCUCGCGCAAUAAGGAGAAAGCUGAGCAGAAGUAUCGGAAGUUUGAUAAAUCUAAAGUUCGUUGCUAUAAUUGUCAGGACUAUGGACACUAUUCUUGACAGUGUCCUAAUCCGUGGAAGGAGGCAAAAAAGGAGCAGGAGAUUCUGCAACUAGCUAAAAUGGGUGUGGAUGACGGCCCAGGGUUUCUUUAAUGAAGAAGCUGCGGCGGAAAAAACAAAAAAAAAAGAGUCGUGUCUUUAGUUUUUGUUUGUGUCUGAGUGGUUAUUGUGUCUCGGCGGGAAGACGAAGGCCAUCGUGAAGAUUGAUGGUGAUACGUCUCCAUCGUAUCUACUUUUCCAAACUCUUUUGCCCUUGUUUUGGACUCUAAUUUGCAUGAUUUGAACGGAACUAACCUGGACUGACGCUGUUUUCAGCAGAAUUGCCUUGGUGUUAUUUUUGUGCAGAAAUGAAAGUUCUCAAAACGUCCUGAAAAUUUACAAAGAAUAUUUCUGAAAAAUAUGAAAAAUACUUGCGCAAAGAUCCACCGGAGGGGAUGGGCCAGUGGGCCACAAGCCCUGUAGCCGCCACCCCCUGGUGGCGGCUAGCAAGCUUGUGGGGCCCACGUGGCUUUGCCGCCCCCAAACUUAGGUCUAUAAAUACAUUUUCAUCCGAGAAAAAAUAAAGAGAGAAGAUUUCGUCGCGUUUGCGAUACGGAGGCGCCGCCACAUCCUGUUCUUCAUCUGGAGGGCAGAUCUGGAGUCCGUUUUGGGCUCCGGAGAGGGGAAAUCAUCGCCAUCGUCAUCAUCAACCUUCUUCCCUCUCCAAUUCCAUGAAGCUCUUCAUCGUUCGUGAGUAAUCUAUUCGUAGGCUCGCUAGGCGGUGAUGAGUAGGAUGAGAUCUAUCAUGUAAUCGAGUUAGUUUUGACGGGGAUUGAUCCCUAGUAUCCACUAUGUUCUGAGAUUGAUGUUGCUACUACUUUGCCAUGCUUAAUGCUUGUCACUAGGGCCCGAGUGCCAUGAUUUCAGAUCUGAAAUUAUUAUGUUGUCACCAAUAUAUGUGUGUUUUAGAUCCGAUCUUGCAAGUUGUAGUUACCUACUAUGUGUUAUGACCCGGCAAUCCCGGAGUGACAAUAACCGGAACCACUCCCGGUGAUGACCAUAGUUUGAGGAGUUCAUGUGUUCACCAAGUGCUAAUGCGUUGGUCCGGUUCUUUAUUAAAAAGGAGAACCUUAAUAUCCCGUCGUUUCCUUUUGGACCCCGCUGCCACGGGAGGGAUGGACAAUAGAUGUCAUGCAAGUUCUUUUCCCUAAGCACGUAUGAAGACACACGGAAUGCAUGCCUACAUCACAUUGACGAACGGGAGCUAGCCACAUAUCUCUCCGUGUUAUAACUGUUGCAUGAUGAAUAUCAUCCAAACAAAUCACCGACCCAUUGCCUACGAGUUUGUCCCGCUAAUGUUGUUACUAUUGUUGCUCCUGCUGUUACUACUGUUGCUGCUCAUGUUACUUGUUUUGCUCUGCUGCUGUUACUACUGUUGUUGCUGCUGCUACUUGCUACUGCUGUUACUUGCUACUGUUGCUACUUGCUACUGAUGUCACUACUGUUGUUCCUUGCCACUGCAGCUACUCGUUACACUGCUGCUACCUGCUACGAUUUUGGUUCGCUCGUCGUUGACGGGAAAAGACAAUUUCCGUCAACGGGCAACUUCUGGCGCCAUUGAUACGACAGUUAGGAAUAGUCUGCCGUCAACAGAUCGUUUCUGACACCAUUGUUAUCGUACUACUUUGCUGUUGAUACUUUGCUUGCAGAUAUUAAUCUUUCAGGUGUGGUUGAAUCUGACACAUUCAGCUGCUAAUACUUCAGAGUAUCCUCUCACUUCCUAUUGGCAAAUCAACAAAUUUGGGUUGAUUACUCUACCCUCGAAAACUACCUCGAUCCCACGCGCUCGUGGGUUAUUGCAAGACAAUUUCUAAUUGUUGAGCAAUCGAGAAUAGCAGUCGUCUAGCCAUUGCGAGAGAUUGCCAAUCAGCAUUUUUCUCGCGCUGUUGCCGGGGAGGUAUUGUUAUAUUCUCUGAGUCACUUUGGAUUUAUAUUUGCUAAUCACUAUGAAGAAUCUGAAGGAUCUGAAAACCAAAGUCUUGCCCUCAACUACGAGGGGAGGUAAGGAAUUGCCAUCUAGCUCUGCACUUGAUUCACCUUCUGUUAUGAGUAAGUUUGCGACAUCACCUCCUGUUAGAAAUAUUGAUAUGUCGCCUGUGCUUGAUGAUGCUUAUGAUGCUAUGCCUGAUACUGCUAGAGAUGCUAUGCCUGAUGAUGCUAGAGAUGCUAUGCCUGAUACUGCUUUGCCUGAUGAUGCUAGAGAUGCUAUUAUGCCUCAUGAUGCUAUGCUUGAUACUGCUAGAGACACUACUUUGCCUGAUGUUCCACUAGGGGUGUUCCUUGAUGCUCAUAUUGCUAGAGUUACUGCCAAUGCUCGUGAUGCUUCUGAAACUGCCGAUACUAUUGAGAUAGAACCUGCUUUUGCUCCUGCUAGAUAUAGCUCUCCUAGAUAUGAAUUGCCUGAUAUACCUGAGGGUUACGUUAUGGAGGGAGAGAUAGCUGAGGAUUUUCUUGCGUGUAAGGAUGCCUAUGACGCUGAGAAAUUACUUCUCAAGUGGAAGGAAAAAUCUCUCAAAGCUAGGAUGAAAUACGACCCGAAGUUUUCCACUUCACCUAUCUUUAUCACCGAUAAGGAUUAUGAAUUCUCUGUCGACCCUGAGAUAAUCUCUCUAGUCGAAUCUGAUCCUUUCCACGGUUAAGAGUCUAAGACGGUCGUAGCCCAUCUUACCAAACUACAUGAUAUAGCCAACCUUUUCACUAGUGAGGAGAAGAUCCGCCACUACUACAUCCUUAAGUUGUUUACUUUCUCUUUAAAGGAUGACGCUAAAGCCUGGUUCACCUCUCUUGCUCAUCGAUGUGUGAGUAGUCCCCAGGAUAUGGUCUAUUGCUUCUGUGAGAAAUAUUUCCCUGCCCAUAAGAAGCAAGCUGCCUUGCAGGAAAUAUACAACUUUGCUCAAAUCAAAGAAGAGAGUCUCCCACAAGCUCGGGGGAGGCUCGUCUAGCUACAGAAUGCUUUGCCUGAUCACCCUCUUAAGAAGAACAAGAUACUUGAUAUCUUCUAUAAUAGACUUACCGAUGCCUCUAGAGACCACCUAGAUAGUUGUGUCGGUUGUGUUUUUAGCGAAUGAACUGUAGAACAAGCUGAGACCCUACUGAAUAACAUCUUGAUCAACAAUAAUGCUUGGACUAUUCUCGAACCACCUCCUAAGCCAACUCCGAAGAAAAUAGGUAUUCUAUUCCUCAGUCCCGAAGAUAUGCAAGAAGCCAAGAAAUCUAUGCAAGAGAAAGGCAUUAGAUCUGAAGAUGUCAAAAAUCUACCACCUAUCAAAGAGAUCCAUGGUCUCGAUAACCCGAUAUAGGUAGUAGAAGUAAAUUCUCUGCGUAGGUUUGAUGAGAGUGAUAUUCCUUUUGACAAACCUUCUAGCCUAUGCUUUGAUGAAUUUGACAACUUUGUUGCCAAACAACAGAGUUUCAAUGAUUAUGUUAGCAGACACUUGGAACAAAGUACUCGUAUGCUUAGCCAUUUAAGUGCUUGUGUAGACAGAAAUGUCAAUGAUCUGAAGCUUCUGAGUAAACAUGCCUCCAUGAUUACUACUCAGGUAGACCAAGUACUUAAAGCUCAGAAUGACUUGCCCAAUGAAUUAAAUGACAACUCUGUCAGAGUCAUUACUAGAGGAGGAAAAAUGACUCAGGAACCUUUGUAUCCUGAAGGUCAUCCUAAGAGAAUUGAUCAAGAUUCUCAAGGAAUUAAUGCUCAUACACCCAGUCAUCCUAAGGAAAAGAAGAAGGAUGGUAGAAACCUACAUGCCAGUUCACCAAAUACUGUCACACCUGAAGAACCUAAUGAUAUUUCUGCGUCUAAUGCAGAAACACAAUCUGGUGAUGAACAUGAACCUGGUGAGAAUAUGGACAACGAUGUUCAUAAUAAUGCUCAACCUAGCAAUGAUGAGGAUGUGGAGAUUGAACCUACGGUUAAUCCUGAUAACCCACAACCUAAGAGAUACGAUAAGAAUGACUUCACUGCUAGGAAGCAUGGUAAAGAAAGGGAGCCAUGGGUUCAGAGAUCUAUGCCCUUUCCUCCUAAGGCAUCCAAGAAAAAGGAUGAUGAGGAUUUCGAGCGAUUCGUUGAGAUGAUAAGACCCAUCUUUCUGCAGAUGCGGUUAACUGAUAUGCUCAAAAUGUCUCCGUAUGCCAAGUACAUGAAAGAUAUCGUGACUAAUAAACGGAAGAUACCAGAUCUUGAGAUCUCCACCAUGCUUGCCAAUUACACUUUCAAAGGUGGAACUCCUAAGAAACUUGGUGAUCCCGGAGUGCCCACUAUACGUUGCUCCAUUAAAGGAAACUACGUAAGAACUGCCUUAUGUGACCUUGGAGCCGGUGUUAGUGUUAUGUAGCUCUCUCUUUAUCGUAGACUUGAAUUGGAUAAGUUAACACCCACUGAAAUUUCUCUGCAAAUGGCCGAUAAAUCAACUGCUUUACCUAUCGGCAUUUGCGAGGAUGUGCCCGUUGUGGUUGCUAACACCACUAUCUUAACAGACUUUGUUAUCUUGGAUAUUCCGAGGAUGAUGCCAUGGCUAUCAUCCUCGGAAGACCCUUUUUAAACACUGCAGGGGCUGUUAUAGAUUGCAACAAAGGCAAUGUCACUUUCCAUGUCAAUGGUAAUGAGCACACAGUGCACUUUCCGAAGAAACGAUAUCAAGUACAUUGCAUCAAUGCUAUCGAAAAGACUUCAUCGAUUCUUAUUGGGAGCUUUGAAUGCCCUAUUCCUCGUGUCAAGAUGAAGUAUGGUUUGCUUGUUGGGGAGAUACAUAUCCCCAUUAAGGUGACUUAGUGGCUAUUCGAAAAUUCUCCGUUCUCUCUUGCGAUUCAAGAAGGUUUUGUCAUGAGGACUUGAUCAACCCCAUUGACGGAUUUCUUUCGAUGACCAUGAAAUGGAUGAAUCAAAGAGUCACAUACCUCUGUUUUGAGCUUUCAUUUUCUGUUGCUUAGAAGAAAAAUGAUAGAUUUAGUUUAGUUUUUCCUGUUUUCUGUUUUAGCGUCUCGGAGAAAAAUACCCCGAAAAUAAAAGUUCUCCGAUGGUCCUGAAAAUCUAGUAUGAUUUUUUCUGGAAUAUUUGAAAAAUACUAGGCCUGAGAGCUGGCCUGGGGGCCAGACCAGUGGGCCACAAGCCCUACAGCCACCGGCCCCCUGGUGGCGGCUAGCAAGCUUGUGGGGCCCACAGGGACCCCCUCCACUCAUUCCAGCUCCCAUCCUCUUCUUCCAUCUCCAGAAAAAAUUGUUUCGCAGCUCAAACCCGUGGUCUUGCUCAUUUGGCUGUGAUUUUCGAUCUCCUUGAUCAAAGCACCAUUCUUGAAACCGUUUUGGGGAAAUUACUCCUUGGUAAGUGACUCCUCCAUUGGUCCAGUUAGUUUUUUCUCUAGUGCUUUAUCCUUCGUGUAUUCUUGCUACCUUGGUGACCUUGUUCUUGAGCUAGAAAUGUUGAUUUUAGCUGGUCCCAAGUAGUUUUAGCGCGUGAUACGGUGUCUAGGCACUAGUAGGAGUAGUUGCUAGAAGGUGUGGUUGGCCUUCAUUCACUUUUCUCUUGAACUUCAAAAAUUUCAGCAAAAGGAAAUUAUGUUCAGGAGGAAGUUUCAUGGUGGUUCCUCAAGUAAGAAGGGCCCCCGUCUUUUUUUCAGGAGCCCGAACCUUAUCAACUAAGGGACGCACCGGUACAACCAUGUGAAUGGCCUUCCGAUGAGUUCAUGAUCGAAGCAGGUUUCAAGGAUGAGUUUGAUACACUUGUCCGCAAUGCCGGGUUAGAAGAAUUCCUCUCAGAUAAAUGUGGACAGUAUGCUAUGCUCACUGCCUCUUUCGUGCGUAGAUUUAAAUUUUCAGUUGGCCGUGACUCAUCCAUACUGUUUGAUCUGUACGAUAAAUCCUACGCCAUGGAUUUGGAGGAUUUCAAUAGGAUUUGCAAGAUACCCAAUGGGGGUAGUAUUAAUUAUCCUUCUAAGUCUUCGGUCAGAGACUUUGGCUCCAGUAUAACCGUUGGAGAAACUAGAGAUAUCACGCAAGCUACCAUAGGAAGCAUUCAUUUCCCUGCCUUGCACUACUUUGCCCUCUUCAUAGGUAGGUGCAUUAACGGCAAGGGUGCAUAUUGUCACCUAUGCGCUUCCGACCUUAGUAUCCUUAAGAGCACAGUAACAGGUGAUAUGAGCUUCAAUAUGGGAGCUAUAAUAGCAAGGAGGCUGAAUAAUAAUGCCAUUGAGGGGGAUUUCUUUCGUGGAAUUUAUGCUACACGCUUAGAAAAUUUUCUUGGAAUAUCCAUCCGUUCAGAAGACCCUCCUCUCCGUACAGCCUACCUUGAUUGUGUCGCUCUAACAUGCUACCAGUUCCUUGAGAGGGAUCAUGGAUCCCUCCUAUACCGCUUGAUAUUUAACCGGCAGCGUGUUUUCCAUAUUACCCUUCCUGCUCGUGCUUUCUUUGACUUUCAGGUAAAACGAGGAUACUACAUAACCAUAGGAGAGGCAGAGGAGUAUGAGAGGGAGGCGACGGCUGCUCGACUUUGUGAGGCAGCUAUUCAGGCAGUGACUACAGCACUCCCGUAUAACACCCAUUAUGAUUUUGGGUUUCGCGAGGACCAUCCAUGGGAGUAGACCAAGCUAGGCCAAAAGCCUAAGCUUGGGGGAGUACGUGUUCUCACCAACCUUACAUUCAUGCUUAUGCUUUCCCUUUGUUAGCCGGUGUUUACACUUUGCCACUGUAUUAUCCAUGCUAGUUUAUUUUCGUUUUCUUGUUUUGUGUCCUUUUGAGAAAACCCAAAAAGAAUUUUCUUUCUUCUUUUGCUUGUUGGGAGCUUUCCCGUGUAGAUAGUUUUCUUUUUCUUUGGGUCAAGGUAGAAGAUAUUGGUUACAAUGUUUAGUGGUUCUUGCAUGCAUACCUGUUUAGCUUUCAAAGAGCCAUAUUACUUUGUCUUCUCCUUUGUGUUUGCCUGCAGAUUCAACUUAGUCCAAUGCACGAGCGCUCUUAUUACUGUUCACAUCGUUUGCUCGUGCAAAUGAAAGGCAAUAAUGAUGAUACAUGAUGAAGUGACUGAGACUGGAAAAGCUGGUAUGAACUCUAUUUAUUUUGUUUUUAUAAAUAUGACUAGCUUGUCAUGCCUGAUUCAGCUUUGUUGUGAGAGAACCAUGUUUGCAAUGACAACUUAGAGAUCAUAGUUUCUGAUGCCAUGCUUAACUAGCUGAGAGCUUAUAAUGGUUCGUCUUGAAUGCCAACAUAGAUUUUGAGAUGACUAUGAUGUAGUAUGAUAGGAUGGUAUUCUCCUUUGAAUGAUUCAAGUGGCUUGACUUGGCGCAUGUUCAUGCAUGUAGUUGAAACAAAAUCAACAUAGCCUCUAUGAUGUUCGUGUUCAUGGUGAUUUAUAUCUUGUUCAUGCUUGCAUUCAAUAUUAUUCAAACUCAUUGCAUCUUGAUGACUGUUGUCGCUCUCUAGUUGGUCGGUUCCUAGUCUUUUGCUAGCCUUCACUUUUACUAAGUGGAAUACUGCUUGUGCAUCCACUUCCAUAAACCCAAAACUUUUUCCAUGAGAGUCCACCAUACCUACCUAUUUGCGGUAUCUACCUGCCGUUCCAAGUAAAUUUGCAUGUGCCACUCUCUAAACCUUCAAGAAAUAAUCUGUUUUGCAUGCCCGAACCGCUCAUGUGGUGACAGGGGGCUAUUGGUAUCUUCCAUGCUAGGAGUGUUAUCCUCGACAUGUGUUUAUUCACUGUCAUUCACGAGAAAGGGGCCGGUAAUUGGAAUGCCCAGUUCCACGCUUAAAUCAAAAACAUAACUGUAAAACAAGACCCCCCCCGGAUUGAUGUUAGUAUGGACGGUACCCGAGGAUUCGGCUAGCCGUGGAGUGUGAUUGAUUGGUGGUGGGGGAGUUAAAACUUUACUUUUCUGUUUGGGAACUGCCAAUAGCAUGAGUAGCGUGGAAGAUAUUGAGAACUCUUGGUCAUUGCAUUGACAAUGAAAGCAUGCCACCCAAAAUUGUUAUCUUUGUUUUCAAAGCUUGAGUUGUGGCACCUCUGCAAAUCAAUGCUUCCCUCUACGAAGGGCAUGUCUAUUUAUUUUCCUGUUGAGUCGUCCUCUUCUUUUAUAAGCACCAAUUAGAGAGCACAUCUGUCAUUUUUAUGCUUUGCUUUUGAUUGAUAUUGAGUAUGACCAUGACUGGAUCUUCGUUGCUAUGAAUUACAAUGUUUAGUCAGCCCUUGAGCUUUGAAAGUGCUCUGCAUUUAUGUUUUGCGGUCUUAGAAAGAGCUAGCGAGAUACCACCUAUUCAUAUUGCUUCAUGCUUGUUUUGAUUGAAGUGUUGGUAUUUGAAACUCAUUAUUAUUUGCUCGUUAGAUGAUUAUGCCAUUGAUACUAGUUUACUGUCAGACCUUUGAGUCACUUGCUUAUGUGGUUAACUUGUGAUCUUGCUGGAAUUCUGGUUAUGAGUUAGACAUAGUUGCAACAACAAGAUCAAAGAGAGUUUGUCAAAGUUUUUCUUUCUCUCUCAGUUUGUCAACUGAGUUGCUUGAGGACAAGCAAGGUUUUAAGCUUGGGGGAGUUGAUACGUCUCCAUCGUAUCUGCUUUUCCAAACUCUUUUGCCCUUGUUUUGGACUCUAAUUUGCAUGAUUUGAAUGGAACUAACCUUGACUGAUGUUGUUUUCAGCACAAUUGCCUUGGUGUUGUUUUUGUGCAGAAAUGAAAGUUCUCAAAACGUCCUGAAAAUUUAUGGAGAAUAUUUCUGGAAAAUAUGAAAAAUACCUGCGCAAAGAUGCACCAGAAUGGAUGGGCCAGUGGGCCACAAGCCCUGUAGCCGCCACCCCCUGGUGGCGGCUAGCAAGCUUGUGGGGCCCACGUGGCUCUGCCGCCCCCAAACUCAGCUCUAUAAAUUCACUUUCGUCCCAGAAAAAAUAAAGAGAGAAGAUUUCAUCACGUUUGGGAUACGGAGGCCCCGCCACAUCCUAUUCUUCAUGUGGAGGGCAGAUCUCGAGUCCGUUCUGGGCUCCGGAGAGGGGAAAUCGUCGCCAUCGUCAUCAUCAACCUUCUUCCCUCUCCAAUUCCAUGAAGCUCUUCAUCGUUCGUGAGUAAUCUAUUCGUAGGCUCGCUGGGCGGUGAUGAGUAGGAUGAGAUCUAUCAUGUAAUCGAGUUAGUUUUGAUGGGGAUUGAUCCCUAGUAUCCACGAUGUUCUGAGAUUGAUGUUGCUACUACUUUGCCAUGCUUAAUGCUUGUCACUAGGGCCCGAGUGCCAUGAUUUCAGAUCUGAAAUUAUUAUGUUGUCACCAAUAUAUGUGUGUUUUAGAUCCGAUCUUGCAAGUUGUAGUUACCUACUAUGUGUUAUGACCCGACAACCCCGGAGUGACAAUAACCGGAACCACUUUCGGUGAUGACCAUAGUUUGAGGAGUUCAUGUGUUCACCAAGUGCUAAUGCGUUGGUUCGGUUCUUUAUUAAAAGGAGAACCUUAAUAUCCCGUAGUUUCCUUUUGGACCCCGCUGCCACGGGAGGGAUGGACAAUAGAUGUCAUGCAAGUUAUUUUCCCUAAGCACGUAUGACGACACACGGAAUGCAUGCCUACAUCACAUUGACGAACGGGAGCUAUCCACAUAUCUCUCCGUGUUAUAAAUAUUGCAUGAUGAAUAUCAUCCAAACAAAUCACCGACCCAUUGCCUACGAUUUUGUCCCGCUGAUACUACUAUUGCUGCUGCUGUUACUACUGUUGCUGCUGCUGUUACUUGUUUUGCUCUGCUGCUGUUACUACUAUUGUUGCUACUGCUACUUGCUACCGCUGUUACUUGCUACUGUUGCUACUUGCUACUGCUGUCGCUACUGUUGUUCCUUGCCACUGCUACUACUCGUUACACUGCUGCUACCUGCUAUAAUUUUGGUUCGCUCGUCGUUGACGGGAAAAGACAAUUUCCGUCAACGGGCAACUUCUCGCGCCAUUGAUACGACAGUUAGGAAUAGUCUGCCGUCAACAGAUCGUUUCUGACACCGUUGCUAUCAUACUACUUUGUUGUUGAUACUUUGCUUGCAGAUAUUAAUCUUUCAGGUGUGGUUGAAUCUGACACAUUCAGCUGCUAAUACUUGAGAGUAUCCUCUCACUUCCUAUUGGCGAAUCGACAAAUUUGGGUUGAAUACUCUACCCUCAAAAAUUGCCUCGAUCCCACGCGCUGGUGGGUUAUUGCAAGACAAUUUCUAAUUGUUGAGAAAUCGAGAAUAGCAGUCGUCUAGCCAUUGCCAGAGAUUGCCAAUCAGAUGCGCACCAGUUAAGUUGAGUUCCUGCAUGAGAGACUAUGUGUUUAGUCUACAUGUAACAUGCUAAGAUGUGACAACGUGGACUGGUAAUCCAGGAUGUGUUGGUUCCAAGUCAACAAGUCAAAAAUUUGGAUUAGGGGGUGAAUGUUAGUAAUCCAAAUGUGUGAGAGUAAAAAUAGGAAACUUUUUUGAGUCGGUUUGUUUUUCCAAGUAAUAGAGAGUAGUAUGGUAAGAGUACUAGUACCGAUCAGGAUUGAUCACACACGUUACCGUGUGUUAGCUUUCUAUUUAUGAGUAGUAGUCCGUAUAGGUUACGAAAAGGUAUUCUGGGUUAUGGGUGAGUUGGAUCUUGCACCUAUAUAUACAUGGGCAGGGUGCUUGAGUUUUGUACCAGAAAAACGAGAAAAGCAAUAAAGAGAUUUUUACGAGGCA